GAUGAACGCUGGCGGCGUGUCUAAGGCAUGCAAGUCGAACGGACUGUUAUUUGUAGCAAUACUUAGAACAGUUAGUGGCAAACGGGUGCGUAACACAUUGGUAACCUGCCUCAAAGUCGGGCAUAAUCCCGCGAAAGUGGGACUAAUUCCACGAUAGUCAUCGAAGGUGAGAUUCCUUCGAUGUGAAGUCGCAAGACGCUUUGAGAGGGGCCUAUGGCCUAUCAGCUUGUUGGUGAGGUAACGGCUCACCAAGGCUAUGACGGGUAGCUGGUCUGAGAGGAUGAUCAGCCACACUGGAACUGAAACACGGUCCAUACACCUACGGGUGGCAGCAGUAGGGAAUAGUUGCACAAUGGGCGAAAGCCUGAUGCAGCAACGCCGCGUGUGCGAUGAAGGCCCUCGGGUCGUAAAGCACUUUUCUGAGAGAUGAGCAAGGACAGUAUCUCAGGAAUAAGUCUCGGCUAACU
rnacentral:rRNA from 1 species